rnacentral:rRNA from 1 species
GAUGAACGCUGACAGAAUGCUUAACACAUGCAAGUCGACUCGAGUCUUCGGACUUGGGUGGCGCACGGGUGAGUAACGCGUAAAGAACUUGCCUCUUUAGACCGGGACAACAUCUGGAAACGGAUGCUAAUACCGGAUAUUAUGGUUUUUUCGCAUGGAGGAAUCAUGAAAGCUAGAUGCGCUAAGAGAGAGCUUUGCGUCCCAUUAGCUGGUUGGUGAGGUAACGGCCCACCAAGGCAAUGAUGGGUAGCCGGCCUGAGAGGGUGAACGGCCACAAGGGGACUGAGACACGGCCCUUACUCCUACGGGAGGCAGCAGUGGGGAAUAUUGGACAAUGGACCGCAAGUCUGAUCCAGCAAUUCUGUGUGCACGAUGACGUUUUUCGGAAUGUAAAGUGCUUUCAGUCGGGAAGAAGUCAGUGACGGUACCGACAGAAGAAGCGACGGCUAAAUACGUGCCAGCAGCCGCGGUAAUACGUAUGUCGCAAGCGUUAUCCGGAUUUAUUGGGCGUAAAGCGCGUCUGGGCGGCAAGGAAAGUCUGAUGUGAAAAUGCGGAGCUCAACUCCGUAUGGCGUUGGAAACUGCCUUACUAGAGUACUGGAGAGGUAGGCGGAACUACAAGUGUAGAGGUGAAAUUCGUAGAUAUUUGUAGGAAUGCCGAUGGGGAAGCCAGCCUACUGGACAGAUACUGACGCUAAAGCGCGAAAGCGUGGGUAGCAAACAGG